rnacentral:rRNA from 1 species
CCUACGGGUGGCAGCAGUGGGGAAUAUUGGACAAUGGGCGAAAGCCUGAUCCAGCCAUGCCGCGUGUGUGAAGAAGGCCUUCGGGUUGUAAAGCACUUUCAGUGGGGAAGAAAGCCUUGGGGCUAAUACCCUCGAGGAAGGACAUCACCCACAGAAGAAGCACCGGCUAACUCCGUGCCAGCAGCCGCGGUAAUACGGAGGGUGCGAGCGUUAAUCGGAAUUACUGGGCGUAAAGCGCGCGUAGGCGGUCUGAUAAGCCGGGUGUGAAAGCCCCGGGCUCAACCUGGGAACGGCAUCCGGAACUGUCAGGCUAGAGUGCAGGAGAGGAAGGUAGAAUUCCCGGUGUAGCGGUGAAAUGCGUAGAGAUCGGGAGGAAUACCAGUGGCGAAGGCGGCCUUCUGGACUGACACUGACGCUGAGGUGCGAAAGCGUGGGUAGCAAACAGGAUUAGAUACCCUGGUAGUC